rnacentral:rRNA from 1 species
CAGUAGCCACGGUAAAACGUAGGGUGCAAGCGUUAAUCGGAAUUACUGGGCGUAAAGCGUGCGCAGGCGGUUAUAUAAGACAGAUGUGAAAUCCCCGGGCUCAACCUGGGAACUGCAUUUGUGACUGUAUAGCCAGAGUACGGCAGAGGGGGAUGGAAUUCCGCGUGUAGCAGUGAAAUGCGUAGAUAUGCGGAGGAACACCGAUGGCGAAGGCAAUCCCCUGGGCCUGUACUGACGCUCAUGCACGAAAGCGUGGGGAGCAAACAGGAUUAGAUACCCGCGUAGUCCCUGUCUCUUAUAC